UCGAACGGCAGCACGGGAGCUUGCUCCUGGUGGCGAGUGGCGGACGGGUGAGUAACGUAUCGGAACGUACCCAGUCGUGGGGGAUAACUAUCCGAAAGGAUAGCUAAUACCGCAUACGACCUGAGGGUGAAAGCGGGGGAUCGCAAGACCUCGCGCGAUUGGAGCGGCCGAUAUCGGAUUAGCUAGUUGGUGAGGUAAAGGCUCACCAAGGCGACGAUCCGUAGCGGGUCUGAGAGGACGACCCGCCACACUGGAACUGAGACACGGUCCAGACUCC
rnacentral:rRNA from 2 species